UGGAUGUUUGAGCAAGUAAUCUUUCUCCUCUUUCUGUAUCAUGUACAGCGUUUCCAGUCUUUUUGAAGUUGACGUUGACAUGUGCAACACUUGCCAAGUCGACAGUGCAGCCUUCGUUAUCACUGGAAAUACAGCUGGACAAGCACCAGCCAGAGGGCUCCAGCUUUGCGCAUGGACGGGGUGUGUGGAAAAAAAUCGGGUGAUGCACGGGUGCUCGUGAACUUUGCCACCCCGUCCCGUGAACGACAGGAGUGGGGGAGAAGAGGAGCAGCGCCCGCCAGUCAGCAGAAAAGGAUGGUUACUCGGACCGAGUAAUGUCAACAUGUUAAAUGGCUCAAGCAUAUCAUAAUGGAAGAGCAUGCCCCAAGUAUGAAGCAUCUCUGAGCACAAGGCGAAACAGGAUUACCUAAAUUCCUCUUUUCUUCCAAUACAGAUUACUUCCUUAAUAAAAAUCUCUGGCAAAAAUGA